rnacentral:lncRNA from 1 species
UUUCUGGCACUUUUUAGAAACAAUAAUUUUAAAAGUUUAAAUACAAUUCAACAGAUCAUUCAUUAGAAGCACUGACUGCUCUGCUAGUAAAGUGGGGGGAAACUUGGAUAUAAACUUUAAUUUUCUUUUGACAAAUGGAAAAAACUGAAAGGUGGUAACUUGUUCACAUUUCUUAGGUAGGUACUGCUGAGAGGAGCACCAGAACUUCUGACUUGAAUGAAUUUCUUCCACUCCUCAGUGACUAAAAGAAUGAAAUUAACUUACUCGGAGGUUCUCAUUUUUCAUAUUAAUAAUAGCAGUUUAGAAGUAUUUAAAGAUAUAUUAUUCUUUGCCAUUGACAAAAUAAACAUGCAUAAGGAAAAAUAGCUUUAUUUUUAAAAGAAAUCAAAGGUAUCCAUGAAAGUAUACAUGAAAACAGCAUCUUUCCUUGAGCCCUAAGCUUGAUUGUGCAUGCUCUUUAUUAUAUUCCAAUGAGAUUUUGGAAAUAAAUUUCAAAGACAUUAACAUUUAUUAACAGAUACUGAAGAAAGCUACUGACUUUGAGAGAAAAAAAUUCAGUAACUGUUUACCUACCCUGAGAUACUCAAUCCCACAAUAUAUUGGGGAUUAUUUGAGCAUUUAAAAAUUUAACAAAAUAUUUAUCUUUUCAUUGCAUCUAUCAACAUGUUAAACUCUUGGCUACAAACCAAGUAAAAUGAUGGUGACCAGUGUUUUCUGAUUCUGUCCAUGAUGGACAGAGUGAAAUUACAGCAUAAAGAGUAGCCAGGAAUUUAUACUGUAAACAUUAUCUGGGUCCAAACAUCUUGCAACAAACCGCUAUUAAUAUGACUACACAAAGCACAUAGAACACAAUAAUCCUGGACUGCAAUACAUCUAUAAAACCUUUUAAAAAUAACUUUUUUCAACCUCUUUUUUCAUUACCACUGCCCCUUGCCCUAGAAGAAAAAAUAUAAUUAAUAAAUUUAGCUUUAAAUUACAUUUCUC